UACACUCAAGGUUUUAAAUGAGGUAAGAUGGAUAACUCAAUUGGUUUGAACUUAGGAUUAAAGAAGUUAAUGGUCCAGAGUUCAAAUCCUAACGAAGGUAAAAAAUACUAUGACUAACAUACCAAAUUACAAACUUUGUCCGUUUAAAAAAAAAACUCAAGGUUUUAAAAAUAGCUCAAGAAUUAAACCCAAUUAAAUAUCGUGUGUUUAUAAUGUACUAGUAAAUGAUUUUUCAUUUCAUAUUGCUGCUUCAAAUUACAUAUCCACCAAAAAAGUAUGCACAAUCCAAAGGCAGAAUGCAAGGCCAACAUCAAAAAACCCUCAACCUACAACUUUAACAUCCCACCCUCAAUUAUUUACUAUAACACAUACUUAAG
rnacentral:lncRNA from 1 species